UUUCCGCCAGUCUGUGUUAGACGGGCCGCGAAAUUCUUAAAAAUUUAUCUAGCUUCGUACGGAUAUUUGUCAUGUUUUCAGAUGGAAAUGCACACAGUGGGCACCUAGAACACUGACCCAUGGUUGUUUGCUAUAAGAUUAGAGUCCAGUUCAUUGGCAUGUCAGUGUCAAUCUUCCCCAAACCAAAACAUUACUGACAGGUGUCAAUCAUUCCAUGACCUAUCUUCACCCUGUUGAUUGACUGUCCAGUGUCCUGCUGUUACUUGGAGCGGCAGAUGUCUUUGUAAAAACACUACAACACGGAGAUAACAUGACAGCAGGUAUGGUGGGUAUGCAGGACAGCUACACUGGGAUUCUCCAGAGAGAUAUUAGUGUAUAGCUCACCAUUCCUACACCUGGAUA